UACGGGGGGGGGCAAGCGUUGUUCGGAAUUACUGGGCGUAAAGGGCUCGUAGGCGGCCAACUAAGUCAGACGUGAAAUCCCUCGGCUUAACCGGGGAACUGCGUCUGAUACUGGAUGGCUUGAGAUUGGGAGAGGGAUGCGGAAUUCCAGGUGUAGCGGUGAAAUGCGCAGAUAUCAGGAGGAACACCAGUGGCGAAGGCGGCUCACUGGCCCGGUACUGACGCUGAGGUGCGAAAGCGUGGGGAGCAAACAGG
rnacentral:rRNA from 1 species